rnacentral:rRNA from 1 species
GACAGAAGGUGCAAACGUUGCUCGGAAUCACUGGGCGUAAAGGGCGCGUAGGCGGCGCGGUAAGUCACUUGUGAAAUCUCUGAGCUUAACUCAGAACGGCCAAGUGAUACUGCAGUGCUAGAGUGCAGAAGGGGCAAUCGGAAUUCUUGGUGUAGCGGUGAAAUGCGUAGAUAUCAAGAAGAACACCCGUGGCGAAGGCGGCUCUCUGGGACGGUACUGACGCUGAGACGCGAAAGCGUGGGGAGCGAACAGG